rnacentral:lncRNA from 1 species
AGAAACGUAAGGGUCCUCGGGGGCCUCCUGGACCUCUUGGAGAUGAUGGACCAAUUGGGCGACCUGGAAUUACUGGGAAGCAAGGACGAAAAAGAGUUCAAGGGAAAAUCGGCAAUCCUGGACCACAAGGUUUACCAGGUCCCCAGGGCCGACCUGGGCGAGACGGAAACUCAGGAGAGACCCCUGAUCCAGGCCCUCCAGGCUUACCUGGGGAAC